rnacentral:sRNA from 1 species
CUCACAUUAUCUUUAAAUCACACACAUUCCGACACGUGUUCCGGGGUGCUCCAACAGUAAAACUAUUUACAUUGAGUGGAUAGAUGUUAGGGGUCGGAUUCAUGGGGGAUGUGGAGGCCUAAC